rnacentral:tRNA from 2 species
AAAAAGAUAAGCUAAUUAAGCUACUGGGUUCAUACCCCAUUUAUGAAAGUCUUAAUCUUUCUCUUUUUA